CGAAUGCUGACAUAAGUAACGAUAAAGCGGGUGAAAAGCCCGCUCGCCGGAAGACCAAGGGUUCCUGUCCAACGUUAAUCGGGGCAGGGUGAGUCGACCCCUAAGGCGAGGCCGAAAGGCGUAGUCGAUGGGAAACAGGUUAAUAUUCCUGUACUUGGUGUUACUGCGAAGGGGGGACGGAGAAGGCUAUGUUGGCCGGGCGACGGUUGUCCCGGUUUAAGCGUGUAGGCUGGUUUUCCAGGCAAAUCCGGAAAAUCAAGGCUGAGGCGUGAUGACGAGGCACUACGGUGCUGAAGCAACAAAUGCCCUGCUUCCAGGAAAAGCCUCUAAGCAUCAGGUAACAUCAAAUCGUACCCCAAACCGACACAGGUGGUCAGGUAGAGAAUACCAAGGCGCUUGAGAGAACUCGGGUGAAGGAACUAGGCAAAAUGGUGCCGUAACUUCGGGAGAAG
rnacentral:rRNA from 1 species